UUAUAAGAUACGCUUGUCGCAUGGCAUUUGUAUUAAACGCUCCGGCGCCAUAGGAUGGACCCGCGUCCCAUUAGCUAGUUGGUGAGAUAACAGCUCACCAAGGCCACGAUGGGUAACCGGUCUGAGAGGGCGAACGGUCACACUGGAACUGAGACACGGUCCAGACUCCUACGGGAGGCAGCAGUGGGGAAUAUUGCGCAAUGGGGGCAACCCUGACGCAGCAAUACCGCGUGAGUGAAGAAGGUUUUCGGAUCGUAAAGCUCUGUUAUUGGGGAAGAAAAAAAGACGGUACCCAAGAAGAAAGUUCCGGCUAACUACGUGCCAGCAGCCGCGGUAAUACGUAGGGAACAAGCGUUGUCCGGAUUUACUGGGCGUAAAGGGCACGCAGGCGGUUUUUUAAGUCAGAUGUGAAAGGCCACAGCUCAACUGUGGACAUGCAUUUGAAACUGAAAGACUUGAGUAUUGGAGAGGCAAGUGGAAUUCCUAGUGUAGCGGUGAAAUGCGUAGAUAUUAGGAGGAACACCGGUGGCGAAGGCGGCUUGCUGGACAAAUACU
rnacentral:rRNA from 1 species